UACGUAGGGUGCGAGCGUUAAUCGGAAUUACUGGGCGUAAAGCGUGCGCAGGCGGUUUUGUAAGCCAGAUGUGAAAGCCCCGGGCUUAACCUGGGAAUGGCAUUUGGGACUGCAAGGCUGGAGUGUGGCAGAGGAGACUGGAAUUCCUGGUGUAGCAGUGAAAUGCGUAGAUAUCAGGAGGAACACCGAUGGCGAAGGCAGGUCUCUGGGCUGACACUGACGCUCAUGCACGAAAGCCGUGGGGAGCAAACAGG
rnacentral:rRNA from 1 species